AUUGUUUCAGGACUCGCCCGCGGCAAGAAUGAUCUCCGCGAUCUGAUCAUUGCUUGAGUGUCCGAGGCAAAACUUCCGGAAAUAACUCGAUCGAAAGCAAUGACAACGAUUACGCUCCGAUUGCUCCGUUCCAUGUAAAAACCCCAACCGACCCCAUUUUUCCAAUUUCAAACAUCCUCACUGCUGCCAAGGCCACAACAGCAACAAGAAUCGCAGUAGGCAUUUGAAGGUGCUUUCCGGCAACACCUGGCACUGACAUAUGGAACAGUGACGUUGGCAUUGAUGGAGGUGGAGGUCGGCCAUAAAGUUACAACCGGUAGCCAUGUCGAUGAGUGGCACGACGAGUUGCGCAAUUUGGUUCUUUGUCAGGGCAGGUCAAACCCAAACUUCACUUUGCUUACAGGUCUUGAAGGCGCAGCGCAACUUAUACCGCGUCUUCGACGCGAUCCGUUUCCGGCGUUAUCAGUGAGCAGCUGGAGCAACCGGCUAUUUAAAACCAACGACAAGAUUAAUCACACACAUUCGCCGUCGGAAAUUUACGAGUCGCAACAUGAGGUCAUGCUUCAGAUUUAAUAAGUAGUGGACGUGGAGUUGGAGGUGGUGCCGAUGCAUUGAAGCGCAAUUCCCGAUGUUCGUCAAACAUCCCCUAGUCUCGUUCUGUUUAAUGCAACAGCAGCAUCACGAUGACGAUGUCGUGAUUAACCGGAAAUUUACGACAAACCCACCGGUAGUGACGCAACCGAUGCAAAGCGAACGCAACCGCCACAGUUACAAAACGUCAACCAAGAGCAUAUUGUGACCGUGAUCAAAUCGGAGGAAAAGCAGAAGGUCAUCAACGAGAAGCGGACCAUUUACGAUGCAACCAUAAUCGAGAUCACCUUCGUUUGUAUGCAGUUAGACCACGUGUCCGACCACGAGCGCUCCAACUAUGGCCAGUUCCCGAUCGACUCGCGACGAUCCACACCCAUCGAUCGAAUGUACUAUCCGCGUACACCGUAGCCCAAGCAACAUUCACAGCGACUUGGGGGACUGAAUGUGCAAACUAGUUGACGCGUCCUAGAUUCAAAAGCGGCCACGACCAGUAGUGAGACUCGUUCAAUUUGAUCUGUUUUUUGUAAUAUAACGGAAAUAAACUUUUAAAAAAUCUUCAAAUCAAAACAGUAACAAUUUUAAGAGAGAAAAAUCUAGGAAUAAAUCCUAUUCAUAAGUUUGCCAUAUAGACAC